UGACUAGCUACUGAAUCAAUUAAAAAAAUUGAUAACAUAAGGGAAAAUAAUGAUAUUACCUUAUUAUUAGUGUCGUCCAAAACUGGUGCCAGAAGACUCGGUAAGGCCAGAGACACAAACGUUAAUCGUCUUAAUCAGGCGUAAAGGGUUUGUAGGCGGCUUUUAAUUUACUUUACUUAUAAAAUUUUAAUAAAAUAAGUAAAAAAUAAAAGCUAGAAUCAAAUAGAGGAUAUAUUAAAUAAUGCUUAGAGUAGGUCCGAUAUUCAUAGAUACUAAGUAGAAUAUUAAAGGCGAAAGCUUUUUUCCAUAAAUGAUUGACGCUCAGAAACGAAGGUGAGGAUAGGAAAUAGGAUUAGAUACCCAAAAUACCCCUCUCUGUCAACGAUGAAUGGUAACUAUUAAUUUUAUUAUUGAUGGUAAUGUUAACACGAUAACCAUUCCGCCUUGUGAGUACAACUGCAAAGUUGAAAACAAAAAAAUUAGUCGGUUUCGGAGCAAACGAAGUGAAGCAUGUUAUUUA
rnacentral:rRNA from 1 species